rnacentral:lncRNA from 1 species
ACUCUCAUCCAGUCAGGAAGUCACCCUAGCUCACAUUUCUUAUAAUUAUUUUCUAUUUUGAACUAUUGGACAUGUUGCAUCAAAUUAUAGGUAAUGUUCUAUAAAAAUUAAACUAUUGAUUAUAUAAUGUCGAGAAUUUCAAUCGGCUCGUUUAGAGCUCGAGCUCGGCUCGACUCGAAAUUAGGCUCGUUUGAGCUCGGCUCGAAUUAAUUUCAAGCCGAGUUUGAGCUUAGAUUUAGGCUCGAAAUUAAUUUCAAGCCGAAUUUGAGCUGACAUAAGCUCGCUCGAGCUCGGCUCGUUUCCACCCCUAGCUGUAAUUAAGAAAAAACUUU